rnacentral:lncRNA from 1 species
CUUCCUUUGAACGCUAUAUCCCUAAUUCAAUAACAAGUAAACUGAAGCUCAGCAUGGUCUAGGAACUUUGUUACGUUAACACAGCAAGUGAGUGUUGCAGCCUGGAUCCAAAAAUCAGGCCUGGUCGACCUCAAAGUCCAGAUUAUUGACCUUUCUACCAUAAUGUAUGGAGGAAUUAGAGAAAGAACUAAUCAGUGUGAAGGAGAAUUGUCAGUAAAAUUACAAGAAAAGAUUGAGAUCAUAAUUGACCUUUGAGGAUAAUAAAAUUUAAAGACCAAAAGGAUGGACUUCACAGAAACAUGAACUUAGGUUGUUUUUGCAGUUGUAGUAACUGGUUAUAUGACCAACAAAAUAUGAAGAAUGGGUACAAAUUCUGAUAGUAAUGAUCAGUCACUUUGCAAAUAUAAAGUUACUAUUUACUACUGUA